rfam:Rattus norvegicus chromosome 13, whole genome shotgun sequence.
GGGGAUUUAGCUCAGUGAUAGAGCGCUUGCCUAGCAAGCGCAAGGCCCUGGGUUCAGUCCCCA